rnacentral:rRNA from 1 species
AUGAACGCUGGCGGCGUGCCUAAUACAUGCAAGUCGAGCGAACGGACGAGAAGCUUGCUUCUCUGAUGUUAGCGGCGGACGGGUGAGUAACACGUGGAUAACCUACCUAUAAGACUGGGAUAACUUCGGGAAACCGGAGCUAAUACCGGAGGAUAUUUUGAACCGCAUGGUUCAAAAGUGAAAGACGGUCUUGCUGUCACUUAUAGAUGGAUCCGCGCUGCAUUAGCUAGUUGGUAAGGUAACGGCUUACCAAGGCAACGAUGCAUAGCCGACCUGAGAGGGUGAUCGGCCACACUGGAACUGAGGCACGGUCCAGACUCCUACGGGAGGCAGCAGUAGGGAAUCUUCCGCAAUGGGCGAAAGCCUGACGGAGCAACGCCGCGUGAGUGAUGAAGGUCUUCGGAUCGUAAAACUCUGUUAUUAGGGAAGAACAUAUGUGUAAGUAACUGUGCACAUCUUGACGGUACCUAAUCAGAAAGCCACGGCUAACUACGUG